AAGGAUACGUUCGUUGGGUAGGGGAGCGUUCUGUAAGCCUGUGAAGGUGUGUCGUGAGGCAUGCUGGAGGUAUCAGAAGUGCGAAUGCUGACAUAAGUAACGAUAAAGCGGGUGAAAAGCCCGCUCGCCGGAAGACCAAGGGUUCCUGUCCAACGUUAAUCGGGGCAGGGUGAGUCGACCCCUAAGGCGAGGCCGAAAGGCGUAGUCGAUGGGAAACGGGUUAAUAUUCCCGUACUUGGUGUUACUGCGAAGGGGGGACGGAGAAGGCUAUGUUGGCCGGGCGACGGUUGUCCCGGUUUAAGCGUGUAGGUGUGUGUUCCAGGUAAAUCCGGUUCACUUUAACACUGAGGCGUGACGACGAGGCACUACGGUGCUGAAGCAACAAAUGCCCUGCUUCCAGGAAAAGCCUCUAAGCAUCAGGUAACAUCAAAUCGUACCCCAAACCGACACAGGUGGUCAGGUAGAGAAUACCAAGGCGCUUGAGAGAACUCGGGUGAAGGAACUAGGCAAAAUGGUGCCGUAACUUCGGGAGAAGGCACGCUGACACGUAGGUGAAGUGAUUUACUCAUGGAGCUGAAGUCAGUCGAAGAUACCAGCUGGCUGCAACUGUUUAUUAAAAACACAGCACUGUGCAAACACGAAAGUGGACGUAUACGGUGUGACGCCUGCCCGGUGCCGGAAGGUUAAUUGAUGGGGUCAGCGCAAGCGAAGCUCCUGAUCGAAGCCCCGGUAAACGGCGGCCGUAACUAUAACGGUCCUAAGGUAGCGAAAUUCCUUGUCGGGUAAGUUCCGACCUGCACGAAUGGCGUAAUGAUGGCCAGGCUGUCUCCACCCGAGACUCAGUGAAAUUGAACUCGCUGUGAAGAUGCAGUGUACCCGCGGCAAGACGGAAAGACCCCGUGAACCUUUACUAUAGCUUGACACUGAACAUUGAGCCUUGAUGUGUAGGAUAGGUGGGAGGCUUUGAAGCGUGGACGCCAGUCUGCAUGGAGCCGACCUUGAAAUACCACCCUUUAAUGUUUGAUGUUCUAACGUGGACCCGUGAUCCGGGUUGCGGACAGUGUCUGGUGGGUAGUUUGACUGGGGCGGUCUCCUCCUAAAGAGUAACGGAGGAGCACGAAGGUUGGCUAAUCCUGGUCGGACAUCAGGAGGUUAGUGCAAUGGCAUAAGCCAGCUUGACUGCGAGCGUGACGGCGCGAGCAGGUGCGAAAGCAGGUCAUAGUGAUCCGGUGGUUCUGAAUGGAAGGGCCAUCGCUCAACGGAUAAAAGGUACUCCGGGGAUAACAGGCUGAUACCGCCCAAGAGUUCAUAUCGACGGCGGUGUUUGGCACCUCGAUGUCGGCUCAUCACAUCCUGGGGCUGAAGUAGGUCCCAAGGGUAUGGCUGUUCGCCAUUUAAAGUGGUACGCGAGCUGGGUUUAGAACGUCGUGAGACAGUUCGGUCCCUAUCUGCCGUGGGCGCUGGAGAACUGAGGGGGGCUGCUCCUAGUACGAGAGGACCGGAGUGGACGCAUCACUGGUGUUCGGGUUGUCAUGCCAAUGGCACUGCCCGGUAGCUAAAUGCGGAAGAGAUAAGUGCUGAAAGCAUCUAAGCACGAAACUUGCCCCGAGAUGAGUUCUCCCUGAGACUUAGAGUCUCCUGAAGGAACGUUGAAGACGACGACGUUGAUAGGCCGGGUGUGUAAGCGCAGCGAUGCGUUGAGCUAACCGGUACUAAUGAACCGUGAGGCUUAACCUUACAACGCCGAAG
rnacentral:rRNA from 1 species